UCUGGCGGUAAUAGAGAGUUGGUACCACCUGAUCCCAUCCCGAACUCAGAAGUGAAACGACUCAUCGCCGAUGAUAGUGUGGGGUUUCCCCAUGUGAAAGUAGGUCACUGCCAGAC
rnacentral:rRNA from 1 species